AUAUUUUUUUGACACAGAUUGUCAAAGAGAAAUAUUUACAGCUAAAACAAGUGGGAAUUACAUGAUGGGAUUGGUAACAGAGUCAGUUCACUGGCAGUUCUACAUUAUUCUGUACACAACAUAGCUUCCGUGAGUCAGCAGCUCUGGUUACAUCUUAUAACCAAACAAUCACAGAGAGGUGAGAAGGGGGGAACAUCUGAUAACCGUGAAACGUAGCACACCGAUACCAACAUCUUUGUUUAGUACAGUUUCCAACAAAGAUCUUCAGUUCAGCACACCGAUACCAACAUCUUUGUUUAGUACAGUUUCCAACAAAGAUCUUCAGUUCAGUGAGUACGAGUGUCCACUACUCAAUGCCCUCCGAAGAACGUCGGCAUUCCACCCGAAUACAGAAUCAGAAGAGCUGUGAACACACGUCCAAGGAAAAGGUGUCACCUGG
rnacentral:lncRNA from 1 species